UCCCUCGUUGACAGAGCUCUUCGAACGCGACGAAACAAUUACUUAGCCAUAGAUAAAACGUAAUUGCGGUAUGAGAUCGCGAUUUGUUACCGAUCUAGACUACGUGGACGGGGUUCGAUUCUUUCAUUAUAACCUCAAAGAAAUCCCUACCGGACGAGGGAGCACGCUCCAGCCUUCUACGGAAAGAAUUCCUUCUAUCCCAGUUGGAGGUUAUGCUGCGAGAGGCGCCUCGUAAUUCAUUUAGCCGGGAGCAGACAAGGCAGGCUCAAUUACACUCGGAGCAAAAACCGUAGCAGCUUCCUCGUACGACGUGCGUGGUCUUCACCGUGUUACACUGAAAGACUGUCACCCGGCUGCCAGUUUCCAAGCGUAAGAAAUCGUUGGCAUCCUUCGCGUCAUCUGCCUCGAGUCGAGAACAUCCUUGUCGUUGUCUUCAGGAAGAUCGGGAGACAUCGUUACCGACGUUGUUACAGGUUAGAAUUUCGUCAGGUGACAAGUGAAAUAUUGACGUGAUUAUCAUGAUCGUUCAAAGAGGCUAACGUGGGAAUGAUUACUUGACUGUGAAUCGUUGAAGGAGCUACGGCAAAGCAAUGUCCUGUUGAUGUUAAGCCACGGGGAUGGUGAGCGUCGAGGAGUCCACGAGAUGGCGGACUCUCGGUACAUGGACUACAAGGAAGAAGACUCAUCUGAAACAAAGAAGUGUAUCCAUUGGAAGACCAGCGGCGUGUAAGGAAGUCGUAUUAAGGAUAGGAGAAGAUGGCGUCGGAUCAAAUGGACGUAGAAAUCGCUAAGGGAAACUCGGCUGAUCUAGUUGCCAUGGAAGUCCGGGACUAGGAAACUAAACGGAGCUAAACCAAACUAAAACUUCCCUUCCACCGGAUUUGACAGCAAUACGGCAUGGGGUUGAAUCAGAUAGCGCGCAGGGGAUGGAGGAUGCCUAUGUAUAUGUAUAUACGUAUACCGUAUAGGUAUAAGGGAGGUUCGCUAGUCUGGACAGAGAGACGGGACUAAGGGAUGCUGGGCUCUCGUCUCCGAGGUCUCAGAGAGGGAUAUUAAGGCCAAAGCUAUCUGAUGGCUGCUUCUCUUCUCUUCUCUCUUCUCCUAUCCUUCACUGCUCUACUCUGUCGUCCAUUUUCUCCUUGAUUCUCCUUGAUUCCAUCCCUUCUACCCCGUGGCCCGGGAUGGAGUGGCAGAAACCAACAGAGGGAAAGGGACAGACAAUACUCACGAGUAGACUCGACUCGAGCCGAAAUUACCGCAUUGAUCUUCAGCAAACUUGCGCUCUACCCUUAACCAACAAUAGACAAGAGUAGUAGCAGAAGACUCUGCUAAGGAAUGUAUUUGUAAUUCGUGUAGCAAGUAAGAGUAAUUCGUUUGAAAAUGUAUCCAUGACAUCGUUGCUUCUGUACUGUAAGAUAUUACGUUUUUUUUUCUUUAUAAGGACAAGAUGCCGAAGGAACGUAAUAUUUUAAAAGAAUAUUAUUUUUCUCAAG